GACGAACGCUGGCGGCGUGCCUAAUACAUGCAAGUCGAACGGUCUUUUCUAUGGAAGCUUGCUUCCGCUGAGAAGGUAGUGGCGAACGGGUGAGUAACACGUGGGUAACCUGCCCAUAAGAGGGGGAUAACAUCCGGAAACGGGUGCUAAUACCGUAUAGUUUUCUUGAUCGCAUGAUCGAGAAAGGAAAGACGGCCUUUGUGCUGUUGCUUAUGGAUGGACCCGCGGCGUAUUAGUUAGUUGGUGAGGUAACGGCUCACCAAGACGAUGAUACGUAGCCGACCUGAGAGGGUGAUCGGCCACAUUGGGACUGAGCAACGGCCCAAACUCCUACGGGAGGCAGCAGUAGGGAAUCUUCCGCAAUGGACGAAAGUCUGACGGAGCAACGCCGCGUGAGUGAAGAAGGUUUUCGGAUCGUAAAACUCUGUUGUCAGAGAAGAACAAGUCGGAGAGUAACUGCUCCGGCCUUGACGGUAUCUGACCAGAAAGCCACGGCUAACUACGUGCCAGCCGCCGCGGUAAGAC
rnacentral:rRNA from 1 species